rnacentral:rRNA from 1 species
UACAGAGGGGGCAAGCGUUGUUCGGAAUUACUGGGCGUAAAGGGCGCGUAGGCGGCCUGUUAAGUCGAACGUGAAAUCCCCGGGCUCAACCCGGGAACUGCGUCCGAUACUGGCAGGCUUGAAUUCGGGAGAGGGAUGUGGAAUUCCAGGUGUAGCGGUGAAAUGCGUAGAUAUCUGGAGGAACACCGGUGGCGAAGGCGGCAUCCUGGACCGAUAUUGACGCUGAUGCGCGAAAGCCAGGGGGAGCAAACGGG